GAUUAACAUCCUCUAACUCCACCGCUGACAUCGUACUGCGACUUCGACGACCUUGCACCGACUCCGACUCCACCAGAAUGGCGUCAAGGUCCAGUAGGAACUACUCGCGCUUCUCGCCCAGCCUUCCUCGGGAACAAAAGGACCUGCGACAACGGUGGACUCUUGAUUGGGCUCUAAGUACAAUUUCGUGACGUACUUCUACG